rnacentral:rRNA from 1 species
AUUGAACGCUGGCGGCAGGCCUAACACAUGCAAGUCAAGCGGAUGAGAGGAGCUUGCUCCUCGAUUCAGCGGCGGACGGGUGAGUAAUGCCUAGGAAUCUGCCUAGUAGUGGGGGACAACGUUUCGAAAGGAACGCUAAUACCGCAUACGUCCUACGGGAGAAAGCGGGGGAUCUUCGGACCUCACGCGAUUAGAUGAGCCUAGGUCGGAUUAGCUAGUUGGUAGGGUAACGGCCUACCAAGGCGACGAUCCGUAACUGGUCUGAGAGGAUGAUCAGUCACACUGGAACUGAGACACGGUCCAGACUCCUACGGGAGGCAGCAGUGGGGAAUAUUGGACAAUGGGCGAAAGCCUGAUCCAGCCAUGCCGCGUGUGUGAAGAAGGCCCUCGGGUCGUAAAGCACUUUAAGUUGGGAGGAAGGGCUUACAGCGAAUACCUGUGAGUUUUGACGUUACCGACAGAAUAAGCACCGGCUAACUUCGUGCCAGCCGCCGCAGUAA